CUUUCCUGCAAGCCAAGAUGGAAAAAGCACCAUGUCUGCCUGCAUGCCAUAUGCUCCCACCAUGAUGACAAUGGACUGAACCUCUCAAACUAAGUUCAAGUAGUUCUGGGGUGUUCUUGAUCUCCCUCCAAAGAGCAGCCCUGACUAAGAGGAGCUACGUCUACGCUGACACACCUUCAUUUGCUGAGUGUGCAUGGCUCUCCUCCCAAGCCUGGCAUCUGUGAGCCCACUUCCUGCUGAUCACUCAAGGAGCCCCACCACCUACAUCAUAUCACUCUGCCAUUCUUGACUGUUCCCACCCAUGGGUAGAUACUUAAGAAGAAAAGAGCCAAUGAAGACCUGCCUGACAGCAAUCCCUGGACACCCUGGAAAGAAAAU